ACAGUCAAAUUGGUGAUAUGCACUCCGUCUCGCAAAGAAUUGCGUCGUCGCAAGUAUGAUUUAAUGAUCUAAAAAUUUUAGUCGCAGCUAGCUUACGGGUAGGCGAGAAGUCUGCAAGGGGUUUAACACAGACUGACGCUCUCCUCUUGGGGAAUCAACCACAGCAAACAUAUCACAGAAAAAUUCGUGAAGACAUCCGCAGCUUUCUAUUUGCGAUCUCAGACCGUCUGAACGUUUUCAGCGCGUGAAGCGACCUAACCUACCAGUCGGCGACAAGUAGUUUUGUAAAUGAAUAAAGGAGUAAGUUUCCAAAUAAACUGUGGUGCUGCCUCAGUGGAGGGUAUUA